rnacentral:tRNA from 1 species
UGGGGCUGUGGCGGAACUGGCAGACGCGCUGGAUUUAGGAUCCAGUUCCUUUACUGGAGUGCAGGUUCGAUUCCUGUCAGCCCUAU